rnacentral:rRNA from 1 species
UACGUAGGGACCAAGCGUUGUUCGGAUUUACUGGGCGUAAAGGGCGCGUAGGCGGCUUGUCGAGUCACUUGUGAAAUCUCUGGGCUUAACCCAGAACGGCCAAGUGAAACUGACAUGCUAGAGUGCAGAAGGGGCAAUCGGAAUUCUUGGUGUAGCGGUGAAAUGCGUAGAUAUCAGGAGGAACACCCGAGGCGAAGGCGGCUCUCUGGGUCGUACCUGACGCUGAGGCGCGAAAGCGUGGGGAGCGAACGGG